GAUGAAGAACGCAGCGAAAUGCGAUAAGUAAUGUGAAUUGCAGAAUUCAGUGAAUCAUCGAAUCUUUGAACGCACAUUGCGCCCCCUGGUAUUCCGGGGGGCAUGCCUGUUCGAGCGUCAUUUCACCACUCAAGCCUCGCUUGGUAUUGGGCAACGCGGUCCGCCGCGUGCCUCAAAUCGACCGGCUGGGUCUUCUGUCCCCUAAGCGUUGUGGAAACUUUCGCUUAAGGGUGUUCGGGAGGCUACGCCGUAAAACAACCCCAUUUCUAAGGUUGACCUCGGAUCAGGUAGGGAUACCCGCUGAACUUAAGCAUAUCAAUAAGCGGAGGA
rnacentral:misc_RNA from 1 species